UUUGAUGGAGAAGGAGAAAGAAAAAAGUUUUAGCAGUUGCAGCUGUUAUCGAGACACGUUCACCUCAUGAGUUUGUUACGGACUUGCAAAGAAGGAAAAUUAAGUUUUGGGCUUUUCUUGCAGGAGAUUCACUCCAGAAUGGAACGGUUAUGUCAAUCUUCUCACCUGUAAUGAAGGCAGUGGAUCUCUGGUGACCAGAGGUUAUCUUAACAUCAGCAUGACUGCAAGGGACCAUUUCCCUACUUUUUUUCUCUAAAGAACAUCACUGUGGAUUAUCCCUUUUUAAAUGGGGCAUUCGCUUUAGAGUAUAUUAUAGAAGUGUAAAAAACUGGUGACGUUCCAUAAAUCAGGAAUUUUGGAUUCCAAAGUGUGAACUGUGGCUCCACAGAAAUAUUAACCCUGUGCUUCCCUGUUAAGGGAUAUUAAUGCUCUGUAUACCUUUUGUCUAACACACAUGAUUCAGCUUCUCAAGUAAACCCUUUAGAAGCUGGGUCAGAGAAGGGAUAGCAUAAGAUGGAGAACCUUGGGUGCCCAGCACCGGAGUUGGCAAUCAAUGGUUUAUGGUAACCUGAGUCCCCUUCAUUACUUCAUGUUGGCUCCUAAAAAUGAAUCGUAUGGCAGUUUCAGAUCCUGGUCAGGCAACCCUGUCUACAGCCAACUUUAACAACCAACACAGAACCCACGAACAACACUGAAAGGCAGCCCAGAGUCUGAAGCGGCUGGAUGUUUGCAGCAGAACAGUAGGAGAUCGGUCACAUUGUUUUUGUGCUGGUUUAGGGCAGUGCUAAGUCUGGAAGACCCCUUUAGCUUGCAAGAUGAAAGGCCUCACACGGAGGUGGCACCCAAUAGUGUGGUGCAAAGUGACACUUUAGUAGUUUUAUUUUUUCCCUGUUCUUUUGGUAUUAUUUGAGGUAUGCAGUACUGUCUAUUUGAAGUGUCUUUGGGUUGGUUGGUUUUUCUGAAGACAGCAGAACUCCAUGUAUUAUGACAAAUGGGUGAUUGCCAUAGGCAAAGCAACAUAACCUUGUUUGCAUUUUGACGGUAUUUGUGGGGAAAUAUGGAGUGGUGAAGAGAAUGUACAAAAUCAAUCUGCUAUCAGGGGUUGACAUAGAAACUGAGAUGAAAUCCUGUUAAAUACUGACGUUGGUAAAAUAGUUAAGUUUCAAAAAUACAUAAGCCAAAAAAAAAAUAAAAAAUUGUCAGUGAAAUGACUAUCAAAGCCUGUACUAUAUGUAAAAUAAAAUUUUUUUUUUA